rnacentral:rRNA from 1 species
CCCUUAGAUGUCCUGGGCCGCACGCGCGUUACACUGAUGCAUUCAACGAGCUUAUAACCUUGACCGAGAGGCCUGGGCAAUCUUGUUAACGUGCAUCGUGAUAGGGAUAGAUUAUUGAAAUUAUUAAUCUUGAACGAGGAAUUCCUAGUAAACGCAGAUCAUCAAUCUGCAUUGAUUACGUCCCUGCCCUUUGUACACACCGCCCGUCGCACCUACCGAUUGGAUGGUCCGGUGAAGCCUCGGGAUUGUGGUUCUUGCCGCUUUAUUGUAGCGUGACCGCGAGAACUUGUCUAAACCUUAUCAUCUAGAGGAAGGUGAAGUCGUAACA